rnacentral:lncRNA from 1 species
UAUAUUAAGGUAAUACAAAGAUUAAAAAAAUUAUUAAUAUCGUCUUUGGUUUUUAGAAGAAUUGAUUAUAAAUACCAUAGAGUAGUGAAUUUUAUUAUGGAUAUUAGUCCAAUUACCAUUGUAUGGGUCAUAGGAUAAGAUGAUUCAAAUAGACAUAUAAUAGAAGUUUGAUUUGGAAGUACAAUUUUGAGUAACUGCUAACAAGGAUAUUCACAAGUAAAGAAGAAAUAA